AGCCUUGAUCCUGCAAGAACUUACAUGGGUACUUAACUUUAUGCAGCGAAUACUCUCUCUGAACUCAGCUCAUUGGGACUACUCACUUUGCAUGAAGAGCUAGAGACUCAUCACUUGGAAAGGGAAAAAAGAAGACGACAGACCUGGGAGUGUUGGGCAAUCACAAAUGACUAUGCGCCACCAAUGCAAUGUUGCUGCAAAAAAGCAAACACGAUCCUAAGAUCCAUCAGGACUCAGUGGCCUUGAUCCUUGACUGCAGCUGGGGAGUGCAUAGCCCAACUUGGGAGAAGAGGGUGUAUGUCGCCUGUAAGCCAUGUUCUUUGCUCCCCUAAUACACUGGAGGACCAGACUGGCCGACUGACUCUGAGUUAGAGCAACCUUCUGAUUGCUCUACCAUCAAGCCAAAACAGCAGUGAGCCCUAGAAUGGUGUAGACGGUGUUGCGCUUUUCUUCCCAGCUAUCCCCCCUGUGCCAAAAGAAAGAGCAGGAACCGCUGCACUAGCUCUGUGAAAGAACUUCCUAAAAGAGGAUGAUCUUCCUGGCUUUAGGGCCACUUAGCCCCAAUGCUAUGGGGGGCAAAGUGACUGCUGCAUGGCCCAGGAUGGGGUCAUGGUUUUAGUCAGUGUUUUUCAACUUGCUGAUGGCAGUUAAUGUUUAAAGGGAAGACUUAAGAUGCAGAAUCAUUUAAAAUGAUGUUAAUUCCGGGUGAACCCCAGCAGCUACGGAGUUGACUUUGGCUGGCCCCACACCGGUAUACUAGGCAAGCAGAAAAGGUGAAGGAGCCCUUUUCCAUCCUACAACUCACACGUAAGGUGCAGCCAGAAUUUGUCUGCAAGGCUGUUUGCUGGGCAUGUUGGGGAUGAGCAAGGACUGCCAGGAUACUCCCAGACAGGCCCCCUCAUGGCUGAUGGUAGACUAUGGACUCUCCCACGCCGCCCUGGCAGAGAAGCACUUGGCGAAUGCUAGCUAUGCUUUCUCAAAUAUGUAGCUAGAAUCAAUUCCUAGAUAAGUCCUCGUGGCAUCAGUGGAGUCUGUUUAUUUUUCAAAGGCAUAAUGAAUCCAGGCAACACUGCUUGAAUAAUGCACAUCUUUCCUAGUGUACCAUCACCUUGUAGGAGGCAAAAUUUGGUCCCAAUUGUACAAACGAUUGUGACAGAUUUAUGUUACCAAUCUGCCUGGGCCGUCAGGUGAUCAGGCUGAGGCUGCAAGAUCUUUAGGGGAGGAGAUGGAGGAGCACACCAAGUGAUUAAAUUUUAAAGCUUUUAUUAAUAAAAUAACAGUGGAGAGUGCUGGGGGUUCCCCAUGUCACUCAGAGGAAGGAAGAAAGUGUUAGUGCCCCAAAUCCUAACCCACUUUCGUACUCACACCUGCACUACCCGAGGCUGGCCAAGCCUGGGUGUAACAUAAGAAGAAGAGGGGGAAGGGUGGAUUGGAGUUCUUGUCCUGUGCAUGGGUCGUCCAGGGUCCACUGUUGAUCUCCGAUUUGCUUUGGCUUUCAGGAGGGUUUUAAGCUCUGGGUUCUUCUUGGGGCGUUUUGUCCAGGGACCUCUGUCCCUCGUGCUCUUUGUACCAGUCCAUACUGGCUUUCUGUGGCUUUCUCAGCUUUCCCAAAACACACUGGCUUCAGGGAUGCAAAAACUGUUGUUUUCCCCCAGGCUGGCCUUCGCUGUCCCACUUGUUUUUUGCAAUCUCUACAGUCCUGCUCAGUUUAGUUCUCCUUUUCUCAUGGCUGGCUGGGGUUGGCUAAGAUAGGAACACAGCUGCAGACUGCUUGUCGAGUGCCGUGACCUUGGACUGGGGCCAGCAACUUAUCUUCGGACUGGGCUAGCUGAAGUGUCGAGUUAACCCGUUCUCUGCUCUCUUCGGCCUCCCGCAACCUGCAAAGAAACCUUCCACUCCACACUCACAAUGCCUUGUGAAGCUUGCAACAGUGUUAGUAACAUACAAUGCUGACUUGCCUCCACAGGGGACCCCCCUGAGGGAGGGGGCCACUGGGUCGUGACACUAUUCCUCUUUCCAUGUUUCUGAGCCUCCCUAUUUGUACAAUGAAUCUAUUUAAUUGCUUGACUCUGUAUAUCUUUCUCCCAGUGUCUAAGAAGUUGGGGUGGUGAUCUCUAAAUAUAGAUGCACUGGGCUAAAUCUCAUGUUCUCCUUUGCAGCUGUAUGAACGUCAAUGGGGUUACAAUGGUGAAAACAAGAUGAGAUCUUGGCCCACAUGUUGAAUUACACAAGAAUGCAAUGUGAAUAGGUUUAAAUGGGAUGCAGCAAUCCCCAUUUUUAUGCUGUGGUUUGCAUUUAAUCUAAGCAAAGUAGGUUUCACUAAAACAUGUUCUGUAUUUGUUUUUAAGCAGAGAAUGUUUGAGGGAGGAUGUCAUAUAAGCACACUUACAUCUACCAAUGUGAUGUGUGCCAGCAAUGCCCCUCUGCCAUGUACGUUGGGCAAACU